rnacentral:rRNA from 1 species
UACGUAGGGUGCGAGCGUUUGUCCGGAAUUAUUGGGCGUAAAGAGCUUGUAGGCGGUUUGUCGCGUCUGCUGUGAAAUUUCGGGGCUCAACCCCGAACUUGCAGUGGGUACGGGCAGACUAGAGUGUGGUAGGGGAGACGUGGAAUUCCUGGUGUAGCGGUGAAAUGCGCAGAUAUCAGGAGGAACACCGAUGGCGAAGGCAGGUCUCUGGGCCACUACUGACGCUGAGAAGCGAAAGCAUGGGGAGCGAACAGG